rnacentral:tmRNA from 1 species
GGGGGUGUCCUGGUUUCGACGGGGAGCGUGAGCUGCCACCUGCCAUCCGAGGUUGGUCGAAGGGCCUCGUAAAAAAUCGGCCAAAAAAACAACUGCCAACGAAGACCUGGCACUCGCAGCCUAAUUAGGCUCGACGGUUCCCGGGGGACGACGCCGGUAGGCUCCUGGAGAACCGACGACAAAUCCGGCUGGGUGACGUGUGGGGCCCCUGGCGCCCGUCAUCGAGACUUUCCAGACGGCUCGGGUGAGUAGAGACUUCGUCUGCGAGUUCCGAAAGCCUUAAAUCCUCCAACGCAGAACAUGAUGGUAGACGGUGUCUGUGAUCCUCUUCGGACGCGGGUUCGAUUCCCGCCACCUCCAUUG